rnacentral:snRNA from 1 species
GUUCACUUCAGCUGCACAUAUACUCAAAUUGGAAUGAUGUAGAAGAGAUUAGUAUGGUCCUUGCACAAGGAUGACAUGCAAAUUCGUGAAGAUUCCAUAUUUUUA